rnacentral:rRNA from 1 species
AAUAGAUACCCGGGUAGUCCACGCCGUAAACGAUGUCGACUUGGAGGUUGUGCCCUUGAGGCGUGGCUUCCGGAGCUAACGCGUUAAGUCGACCGCCUGGGGAGUACGGCCGCAAGGUUAAAACUCAAAUGAAUUGACGGGGGCCCGCACAAGCGGUGGAGCAUGUGGUUUAAUUCGAUGCAACGCGAAGAACCUUACCUACUCUUGACAUCCAGAGAACUUAGCAGAGAUGCUUUGGUGCCUUCGGGAACUCUGAGACAGGUGCUGCAUGGCUGUCGUCAGCUCGUGUUGUGAAAUGUUGGGUUAAGUCCCGCAACGAGCGCAACCCUUAUCCUUUGUUGCCAGCGAUUCGGUCGGGAACUCAAAGGAGACUGCCAGUGAUAAACUGGAGGAAGGUGGGGAUGACGUCAAGUCAUCAUGGCCCUUACGAGUAGGGCUACACACGUGCUACAAUGGCAUAUACAAAGAGAAGCGACCUCGCGAGAGCAAGCGGACCUCAUAAAGUAUGUCGUAGUCCGGAUUGGAGU